GAGCGGCCUGGAGCCGCCGCCAGGACAAGGAAGAUGUAAAGUACUGCAAUGAGAGUAUUGCAGAGGCCUCUCCAGGCUUCCCAUACUACGCAUUAAGCAUCUGAGGAACCCAGACAGAGCCAUGGUGCACUAGAUCCAUUAAUGUCUAAGGAUAAUGAAGAAAACAGCAGGGACAGCACCAUAAGCUGAGCGCUCAGACAGAAUGUGGUCCAAGACAGCAGCAUCCUGAUGUUAUUGAAUAUUUCACCAUCACAGGCCUAUGUGUUUACCCCUGUGUGGCCUAUGCACUGGUCUCUGUGGAGGUGCAUUCCAGCCUGUGUGUUCCCCUGCUCCAGCGCGUGCUUCCAUGCCUGCCGGCGUCUGCCUGCAGCAGUACAUAUGGUGGUCUGCCGUGGAUUUUCCGUGUGACUCCUCAUGUUCUCUUCACCCUCCCAUUCUCUCAUGAAACCCUCUUUUCCUGAAGCCAGAGCUCCAUCCUCACAGCCUCCCCCCCAACUCAGGUUUCUCUAUCAUCACCAUCUUAUGGGGUUUGGGAGAGUCAC